AUGAACGUCUGGCAGAGCAAAGCUGAUGACUACUCGAUAGUUCAGUGUGCCAUGCUUUACGGCUUAGGAUCGGGACUUCAACGACGUUUUGAACGUCAUGGAGCAUAUGAGAUGUUCCAGGAGUUGAAGUUAAUAUUUCAAGCAAAUGCCCAGAUUGAGAGAUAUGAAGUCUCCAAUAAGUUCUAUAGCUGCAAGAUGGAGGAGAACAGUUCUGUCAGUAAGCAUAUACUCAAAAUGUCUGGGUAUAAUAAUCACUCCAUUCAAUUGGGAGUUAAUCUUUUAGAUGAUUGCGUCAUUGACAGAAUUGUCCAAUCACUGCCACCUAGCUACAAGAGCUUCGUGAUGAACUAUAAUAUGCAAGGGAUGAAUAAGACUAUUCCCGAGCUCUUUGCAAUGCUCAAAGCUGCGGAGGUAGAAAUCAAGAAGGAGCAUCAAGUGUUGAUGGUCAACAAGACCACUAGUUUCAAGAAAAAGGGCAAAGGGAAGAAGAAGGGGAACUUCAAGAAGAACAACAAGCAAGUUGCUGCUCAAGAGAAGAAACCCAAAUCUGGACCUAAGCCUGAAACUGAGUGCUUCUACUGCAAGCAGACUAGUCACUGGAAGCAGAACUGCCCGAAGUAUUUGGCGGAUAAGAAGAAUGGCAAGGUGAACAAAGGGACUACGGAUUAA
rnacentral:rRNA from 1 species